UGAGGAAUAUUGGUCAAUGGGCGCAAGCCUGAACCAGCCAUGCCGCGUGCAGGAUGAAGCAUCUAUGGUGUGCAAACUGCUUUUGUACGGGAAGAAACCACCCCUCGUGAGGGGUAUUGACGGUACCGUAAGAAUAAGGAUCGGCUAACUCCGUGCCAGCAGCCGUGGUAAUACGGAGGAUCCAAGCGUUAUCCGGAAUCAUUGGGUUUAAAGGGUCCGUAGGCGGGUCUGUAAGUCAGUGGUGAAAUCUCCCCGCUCAACGGGGAAACUGCCAUUGAUACUGCAUGUCUUGAAUUAGGAGGAAGGAGCUAGAAUAUGUAGUGUAGCGGUGAAAUGCGUAGAGAUUAGAAGGAAUACCGAUUGCGAAGGCAGGUUACUACCAAUGGAUUGACGCUGACGGACGAAAGCGUGGGUAGCAAACA
rnacentral:rRNA from 1 species